rnacentral:rRNA from 1 species
AGAGUUUGAUCCUGGCUCAGAAUCAACGCUGGCGGCGUGCCUAACACAUGCAAGUCGAGCGAGAAAGGGGCUUCGGCCCUGAGUAAAGCGGCGCACGGGUGAGUAACACGUGGGUAAUCUGCCCUAGAGUGGGGAAUAACACCGGGAAACCGGUGCUAAUACCGCAUACGAUCGCGAUGUCUUCGGAUGUUGUGAUGAAAGGAGCAAUUCGCUCUUGGAGGAGCCCGCGGCCGAUUAGCUAGUUGGUGAGGUAAUGGCUCACCAAGGCUGCGAUCAGUAGCCGGUCUGAGAGGACGGUCGGCCACACUGGAACUGAGACACGGUCCAGACCCCUACGGGAGGCAGCAGUGGGGAAUUUUUCGCAAUGGGGGCAACCCUGACGAAGCAACGCCGCGUGGGUGAUGAAGUCUCUUGGGACGUAAAACCCUUUCGACGGGGAAGAAACCGCAAGGUUGACGGUACCCGUAGAAGAAGCCCCGGCUAACUCCGUGCCAGCAGCCGCGGUAAUACGGGGGGGGCAAGCGUUGUUCGGAAUUACUGGGCGUAAAGGGCGCGUAGGCGGUCCGCUAAGUUGAAUGUGAAAACUCUGGGCUUAACCCAGAGCCUGCAUUCAAUACUGGCGGGCUAGAGUUCUGGAGGGGAUAGCGGAAUUCCUGGUGUAGCGGUGAAAUGCGUAGAUAUCAGGAGGAACACCGGUGGCGAAGGCGGCUAUCUGGACAGAGUCUGACGCUGAGGCGCGAAAGCUAGGGGAGCAAACAGGAUUAGAUACCCUGGUAGUCCUAGCCCUAAACGAUGGAUACUUGCUGUGACUGGGAUUGAAUCCAGUCGUGGCGAAGCUAACGCAUUAAGUAUCCCGCCUGGGGAGUACGGUCGCAAGGCUGAAACUCAAGGAAUUGACGGGGGCCCGCACAAGCGGUGGAGUAUGUGGUUUAAUUCGACGCAACGCGAAGAACCUUACCUGGGCUCGAACGGCUGGUGACAGGGGUGGAAACAUC